rnacentral:misc_RNA from 1 species
UGUGGGAGCUGGCUUGCCUGCGAUGCGGGCGACUCGGUUUGUCUGAACGACCGAGGCGCUGCGAUCGCAGGCAAGCCAGCUCCCACA